ACCUGUAGUCCAUACCGUAAACGAUGAAUGCUAAGUGUGGAGGGUUUCCCCCUUCAGUGCUGCAGCUAACGCAUUAAGCAUUCCGCUGGGGAGUACGGCCGCAAGGCUGAAACUCAAAGGAAUUGACGGGGGCCCGCACAGCGGUGGAGCAUGUGGUUUAAUUCGAGCUACGCGAAGAACCUUACCAGGUCUUGACAUACUAUGCAAAUCUAAGAGAUUAGACGUUCCCUUCGGGGACAUGGAUACAGGUGGUGCAUGGUUGUCGUCAGCUCGUGUCGUGAGAUGUUGGGUUAAGUCCCGCAACGAGCGCAACCCUUAUUAUCAGUUGCCAGCAUUAAGUUGGGCACUCUGGUGAGACUGCCGGUGACAAACCGGAGGAAGGUGGGGAUGACGUCAAAUCAUCAUGCCCCUUAUGACCUGGGCUACACACGUGCUACAAUGGAUGGUACAACGAGUUGCGAACUCGCGAGAGUAAGCUAAUCUCUUAAAGCCAUUCUCAGUUCGGAUUGUAGGCUGCAACUCGCCUACAUGAAGUCGGAAUCGCUAGUAAUCGCGGAUCAGCAUGCCGCGGCGAAUACGUUCCCGGGCCUUGUACACACCGCCCGUCACACCAUGAGAGUUUGUAACACCCAAAGUCGGUGGGGUAACCUUUAGGAACCAGCCGCCUAAGGUGGGACAGAUGAUUAGGGUGAAGUCGUAACAAGGUAACCA
rnacentral:rRNA from 1 species